rnacentral:piRNA from 1 species
UUAAUCAAUACCUGGUAUCUGUUGGA